rnacentral:tRNA from 1 species
GCAGGGGUGCCGGAGCGGCCAAACGGGUAUGGUUGAGGGCCAUAUGACUUAGUGUCUUCAAGAGUUCGAAUCUCUUCCCCUGCA